rnacentral:rRNA from 1 species
GAUGAACGCUGGCGGCGUGCCUAAUACAUGCAAGUCGAGCGAACAAACGAGGAGCUUGCUCCUCUGACGUUAGCGGCGGACGGAUGAGUAACACGUGGAUAACCUACCUAUAAGACUGGGAUAACUUCGGGAAACCGGAGCUAAUACCGGAUAAUAUAUUGAACCGCAUGGUUCAAUAGUGAAAGACGGUUUUGCUGUCACUUAUAGAUGGAUCCGCGCCUCAUUAGCUAGUUGGUAAGGUAACGGCUUACCAAGGCAACGAUGAGUAGCCGACCUGAGAGGGUGAUCGGCCACACUGGAACUGAGACACGGGCCAGACUCCUACGGGAGGCAGCAGUAGGGAAUUUUCCGCAAUGGGAGAAAGCUUGACGGAGCAACGCCGCGUGAGUGAUGAAGGUAUUCGGAUCGUAAAACUCUGUUAUUAGGGAAGAACAAAUGUGUAAGUAACUAUGCACGUAUUGACGGUACCUAAUCAGAAAGCCACGGCUAACUACGUG